CCGAGUCUAAACAACUCCCAAACCCCUGUGAAUCUACCCACUGUUGCUUCGGCGGGAGCGCCCCGGGCCGCCCGCGCCCGGAUCCAGGCGCCCGCCGGAGGCCCCAAACUCCAGUUGUUAUAGCGGAUAUCCUCUGAGUCAAACACACAAAUAAAUCA
rnacentral:misc_RNA from 1 species